GCAUCUUCCCUGCUGUGCUCCAUCAGCUUCCAAGAGCAAUAUCCAAGACCAGGGGCUGCCGUGGGGAGCGAGGGUGGCUGCAAACAGACCUCCCGGAACACAGGAGUGAUGCAAAUUGAUUAAGAAGCCGGCAGAGUCGUUGUACAGACUUCUGUGUUAUGUCCGCUUUUGAAAACCUACCGCUCCCCUCCGCCUCUUGGCCUCAGGGUACAGCAAGAAGGCGGCCGUCUGCCGGCAGGAAGAGAGCCUCACCAGAAAGGCUAGCACCCUGGUCUUGGAAUUCCAGCUUCUAAAACUUCAAGGAAAUAAAGGUCUGUUGUUUUACCCACCCAGUCUAUGGGAUUUUGUUACAGCAGUCUGAGCAGACUCAGGCAAGGGGCUAGAUUAGCAUAACAAAUAGCAUGGAGGACAUGGGGAGAUGGAGAGGAGAAGGG
rnacentral:lncRNA from 1 species